rnacentral:rRNA from 1 species
GAGGGGUAACGGCCCACCAAGGGUAGGAAGUGUUGGGCAUGUGAGAGGAGAAUCCCCCACACUGGUAGUGAGACACGGACCAGAGUCCUACGGGAGGCAGCAGUAAGGAAUAUUGGUCAACGGAGGGAACUCUGAACCAGCCAUGCCGCGCGCAGGAUGACUGCCCUAUGGGUUGUAAAAUGCUUUUGUCAGGGAAUAAACCUUUCCACGUGUGGGAAGAUGAAUGUACCUGAAGAAUAAGGAUCGGCUAACUCCGUGCCAGCAGCCGCGGUAAUACGGAGGAUCCAAGCGUUAUCCGGAUUUAUUGGGUUUAAAGGGUGCGUAGGCGGUCAUAUAAGUCAGUGGUGAAAGACGGCAGCUUAACUGUCGCAGUGCCUUUGAUACUGUAGGUCUUGAAUCUAUUUGAAGUGGGCGGAAUAAGACAAGUAGCGGUGAAAUGCAUAGAUAUGUCUUAGAACUCCGAUUGCGAAGGCAGCUCACUAA